CUACAGUCUUAGCUAGCAGCCAGGUGGCUUUUAGUUCAUGCUGUAGAGGCCCAUGCACUAAGCUCCUGAGUUCCCACUUCGACCUCACCCACUGACAAGUUACCAACCCAGAUCUGUCAGCGUAACUGAGACAGCUGCUGCCCCAAGAAGGAGAAAGCUGCCAUGACAUGCCCAGCUGAGAAGAAGUGCCAAGCAGUGAGCUGACACUCGUCAGAGCUUCCUGUGAUAAACUGCAAACUUUGGACAAUAGCAGGGUGGUAGGAAGCGACAUCCCCACGAGCAAAGGCCAUCACCAGGCAUCUGUCUUCGAAAGUUUGCAGAGGAUGUGGAGCAGAAAGGGCAGAGAGGAUGAGGAUGGCUCUUGGGAAGAGGGAGGGAGCCUUAUGAGAAUGUCUUGUUUACCUCCAUCAACCCAAUGAUCAGAUCAUUGAUGCCUAGAAUCUUCCCUGACGUGUUGUAAUUGAUUGGAUCUAGAUUUUAAAAUGGGUACCACAUUUGCAGAUGGAGAAAUGUCAGCGAGUUGAGUGGAAGGCCAUUGCAAGCUCAGCUAAUUAUGCAACGUGGCUUAUGCCCCAUCUAACAAGCUCCUUAAACAACAGUUUCCAAUUUUCAUUUACAUUGUUCUGUUAAGUGUUUUUCUCCAAAACACUUUCACUAAUCAUUUUGAUCGCCUUGGGAAAGUUAGCCCUUUCAGUGCACCAAAUAUAAAUAUUGCUGGUGGGGACUGCCCUCUAUUGGUCAUAAGAACAGCCAUACUGGAUCAGACCAAUGGUCCAGCCACCCUAGAAUCCUAUCCUCCCACAGUGGCCAAUGCCAGGUGCCCGCGAGGGAAUCGACAGAACAGGGAAUCAUCAAGCAAUCCAUCCCAUUACCCAUUCCCAGCUUUCGGCAAACAGAGGUUAGGGACACUUCAAGAACAUGGUUUUAUAUCCUUGCCCAUCCUGGCUAAUAGCCAAUGAUGGAUCUCUCCUCCAUCAACUUAUCUAGUUCUUUGGUGUUAUAGUCUUGGCCCUCACAGCAUCCUCUGGCAAAGUUUCCCUAGGUUGACUGUGUGUUGGGUGAAGAAAUACUUUCUUUGGUUUGUUUUAAACCAGCUGUCUAUUCAUUUCAUCGGGUGACCGCUAGUUCUUGU